UCUGCCAGAAUCAGCUGUGCUGGUGUG
rnacentral:piRNA from 1 species